rnacentral:lncRNA from 1 species
AUGCCUGAAGAUUGUAAUGAAUUCAUGCAACAUGUAAUGCCACUAGCAUGCAGCAGAGGGCAAAAGAGCUUGAGCUUCACUGAAAAGCUUGAUUCCAACACCCCUGCAGCCAGUCUAGCUCUGUCAAUGAAUCCUCUACACAUCUACACCUGCAGCUCUGCUGGAGCCGCCACAAGCCCUGGGGAUGAGGAAACUCAUGGAUGCAGAAUUCUGAGGACAUUGAGAGAAGAGCCAGAUUUCAAGUUGUUUGAACACGGAACAGAGAUAAUUGAAGAAGAUUUUGAGUUCAUCUUCAUCAUUCAUAUGAGGGAACCAGUG